rnacentral:rRNA from 1 species
UGGUGAAUCUUGGACAAUGGGCGAAAGCCUGAUCCAGCAAUGCCGCGUGCGUGAUGAAGGCCCUAGGGUUGUAAAGCUCUUUUACCCGGGAUGAUAAUGACAGUACCGGGAGAAUAAGCUCCGGCUAACUUCGUGCCAGCAGCCGCGGUAAUACGAGGGGAGCUAGCGUUGUUCGGAAUUACUGGGCGUAAAGCGCGCGUAGGCGGUUUUUUAAGUCAGAGGUGAAAGCCCGGGGCUCAACCCCGGAAUAGCCUUUGAAACUGGAAAACUAGAAUCUUGGAGAGGUCAGUGGAAUGCCGAGUGUAGAGGUGAAAUUCGGAGAUAUUCGGAAGAACACCAGUGGAGACGGCGACUGACUGGACAAGUAUUGACGCUGAGGUACGAAAGCGUGGGGAGCAAACA